rnacentral:rRNA from 1 species
CCUACGGGAGGCAGCAGUAAGGAAUAUUGGUCAAUGGAGGCAACUCUGAACCAGCCAUGCCGCGUGCAGGAAGACAGCCCUAUGGGUCGUAAACUGCUUUUAUACGGGAAUAAACUUUGAUUCGUGAAUCAAGCUGAAUGUACCGUAAGAAUAAGGAUCGGCUAACUCCGUGCCAGCAGCCGCGGUAAUACGGAGGAUCCAAGCGUUAUCCGGAUUUAUUGGGUUUAAAGGGAGCGUAGGCGGCCUAUUAAGUCAGGGGUGAAAGACGGUGGCUCAACCAUCGCAGUGCCUUUGAUACUGAUGGGCUUGAAUAUAGUUGAGGUAGGCGGAAUGUGACAAGUAGCGGUGAAAUGCAUAGAUAUGUCACAGAACACCGAUUGCGAAGGCAGCUUACUAAGCUAUGAUUGACGCUGAGGCUCGAAAGCGUGGGGAUCAAACAGGAUUAGAUACCCUGGUAGUCCACGCCCUAAACGAUGAUAACUCGAUGUUGGCGAUAUACAGUCAGCGUCCAAGCGAAAGCGUUAAGUUAUCCACCUGGGAGUACGCCCGCAGGGUGAAACGUUAAUGAAUUGACGG